UUACCACGAAAUGUCCGCUAGGAGGCAGGCGACACAAUCUGAUUGUGAAAGUGGUUUUCACUGUGUGCAGGUAGACACGGUUCUGCAGGGUGCCGUGCGGUUCUGAUCCAGUACAGUGCAUGAAGUCAGUGCUGAUUUGGAUCCUGCUGGGGUUCAGUGGGGUUCAUCAAGCUUCUUUGUCCAUAGAGGGUGACAUCCCCCAGACCUGUGUAACAGGGCGCAGGCUGAGAGUGACGCAAGCGAGCAUCUUAACCGCUGUGCAAAAGAGGCCGGCUCACCUGCAUUUCUGUGACGACCGCCUGGAAGUGUGCAGAGGUAACACCAAAUUGUGUUGAAGAUUGACGCAGUGGGUCCAUAUGAACGACACUUUCUAUACUAAACGUAAGCCUGCUGUAACACUCCAAUCCCCAUGUGCACAAACACAGCUUUCUCCCGAGCUGCUGCCGGGCCCAGGGGGAAUGUGGCAGCGGGCUGCGAUGUGUCUGAGUGGUCCCGGGGAAUGUAGCAGGCAGGUACAGUGUUUGGAAGAGGAGAGCUGUUCUCAGCCCUGCCGCACUGAGGGAUCCUGAAGGCAGGGUCUGACCACCACAUCAGGGAAGGAAAGGACAGCUCCACACCCGAGCGCUAGCCUCGUUCCCACGCCUCGCACAGACAAUCACAGGGCUGCAGCCAGGCACCUCCGGAAUGUCGGCUUGGAACUUGGAACUUGGAACAGAAAAAAAAAAAGAUCUCUUAAGUUCCUGAGCUUUCGGAAUGUACAAGAUACUUGGAGUUUUCGAUUGCAAGAGUCACCCAGCCCGGUUCUCCUCUGCCCUGAUUGGGUUUCCAUCAGAACGGGGGCUAGGGGAGAGGUUUGGAAACUUGAACAAAACCAAGCACGCCAGUAACUGUCAGCCUCCCUCCCUCCACCAGCACCCCUCCUCCUCUCCCCUCGCCCCUCUCCCUCCCUGUCAGUUCCUCACGAGCCUCCAUCGGGAAGCGUGUCACGUUGGAGUCUCUCCCUCGCUGCCCCUGUCACUCAGCUUCCUGCAGGGAGGGGGUGCUGUGCUGGAACACGCCAGCUGUCCCCGAGAGAGCGUGCAGGGACCCCCGCUGCUGGAGCACAGGCAGGAGGGGAGAGAACACUGGGAUAACAUGUCACGUAUGAGAGAUCGAGAGACAGAGAAAAGGGAAUAAUUCACUUUUCUUGAACAGUUGGAGGCUUCACUUGUUAUGAGCGAUUUACUUUUUGAAUGGUUCGGGGAUGGCACAAAGAUCAGUCACUGCUUCGAUCAAUUUAAUAGAUGGUUUUAAACAUGAAAUCGUUUGUCAUGUGCCCUACGCUUCACUUGUCCACAUGGUGUGUGUGUCUCUCUCGCUCUCUCUCAGCAGUACCAGGGAAACAGACACAACUUGACCAAAGGUGGUGCUAACUAUUCUCCACCUCAAGGUGGCAGUGUUGGCCAAUUGAAUUCCCCGCUACAAUCACAUACUUGUAAAUGUAUGUUACUUUUUUUCAUUCUUUCAAAGCCACAGACAGGUGUAUAGGACAGUUACCUCCACCUGCCAGGCGUCUAUCACAGUCUGGUAAAGCUCACCCUGCAGUGCGUCUGGGAUGUGGCCCCGAUAUCGUGUUCUUUUGAGUAUAAGGCAGCUGAACCCAUUUCCUGUAAUUGGUUACCUUGCUCUGUAGUCAGUCAGUGCUGGAAGGAAUGCUUAAACACCUUAGAAUGAUUUGAACUUUUUCUGUUUUUAAAAGAAUACAAAUAACAGGUUUAAUCUGUUUAAAGAGGAGAGGAGAGGAGAGUGUGAUUGAUCUCCUACAGCUGUAAUCCCAGCUUUCGGUUUUAUUGAUUCCAGGGGCGCUGACAGCGCAGGACUCCAAAAUCCUGAAAGUGUCGUCUGUAGCGGGGCUGGUGCUUACAGAGCAGCUGAGUAAACAAAAGCAGCUUUUCUGAGACAAGCGGUCAGGCACUGAACACUGCUGCAGUGUGCAUGUGAGCCCGUGUUAUUAACAAUAGAGGAGAAAGAACAUAAGAGUGGAGGAAUCUGGAUUCAAUCCAUUUUUAUACCUCCUGCUAGUAAUAGCAAUGUUAUCACUGGUUCCCCCUGGGAUCUUUCGGUUCUUUGUAUUUUAUACUGGCAUAUAUACCGAGCAUCAAAAGAAACUUAUCACUAUUAAAACAUAUUUAUUUUUUGAAAAAAAAUAAGGUAUAUAAAUGAUGGACUUUGACGAAAUGUUUUUGGUUUCUUUUUAAUCACUCGAUCAUUCAUCCUUGACCAUGACGCGCUUGAGUGACUAUGACUGAAGCAUAUGCACUUAAUCACCUAAUUAGUGAGACAGUUGAUUGGACUCUGGAUAUGAUUUCAGCUGUUGAAUUACAAGCUUGAAUAAAAGCAAUAAAGAAAAACACAGAAAAAAAACAAUAUGCCACGUCUGUCAAGAGAGCAGCGCCUUCGUGCGAUCGGCAUGUUGGAGGCUGGACUAGGGCAGCGUGCUGUGGCUCGCCGUCUUGGGAGCUCACAGCCAGCAAUUUCAAACCUGGUGAGACGGUAUAACCAAACACACUCUGUCAAUGACAGGCCACGAACCGGGAGACCAAGAGUCACAACACCUGCCCGAGAUCGACAGAUCAUUUUGCAGCAUCUUCAUGAUGUCAAUUGUUAAUCAGCACAAUAAAAAGUCACUGUACCUGA